rnacentral:rRNA from 1 species
CCGGAAGAGAGGCAGAUUUAAAACAAUGGCUUUAGUGGCGGACUGGUGAGUAACACGUAAGCAACCUGCCUGUUAGAGGGGAAUAACAACGAGAAAUCGUUGCUAAUACCGCAUAUGCCAUAAUAACCACAUGGUUAUAGUGGGAAAGGAGCAAUCCGCUAACAGAUGGGCUUGCGUCUGAUUAGUUAGUUGGUGGGGUAACGGCCUACCAAGACGACGAUCAGUAGCCGGACUGAGAGGUUCAACGGCCACAUUGGGACUGAGAUACGGCCCAGACUCCUACGGGAGGCAGCAGUCGGGAAUAUUGCGCAAUGGAGGAAACUCUGACGCAGUGACGCCGCGUAUAGGAAGAAGGUUUUCGGAUUGUAAACUAUUGUCUGCAGGGAAGAAACAAGACUGUACCUGCAAAGAAAGCUCCGGCUAACUACGUGCCAGCAGCCGCGGUAAUACGUAGGGAGCAAGCGUUAUCCGGAUUUAUUGGGUGUAAAGGGUGCGUAGACGGGAAAUUAAGUUAGUUGUGAAAUC